AAUAAUAAGAGGGGAGGGGGGAGGGACCACCCUACCCGCGUAGCAGCCCCACUACUGGCCCCUCCUUCCACCAGAGAAUGUUCGAUACAGGUCGCAGAUUUCGCAUGCCUUUCCUGACCUGUGGGCUCACCCCACUGAACUCACCGCCUCACAUGUAGGUACGUCACCUCAGCGCCACCUCGGUACAGGUGGAAGGAAAGCAUAUCCGCCAACGAGCCAUCCGGACAUGGGGCAUACGCCCGCAUGUUUGGAACCUGGACAACUCGGAUGGAAUUAUCGCCCCCUUACCACCAGGCUACCACCUUGGUGGCUAGUAUUCUAUAUGUUCGAUCACUUUUCUCUGCUUAACCUUAAAACCAAUUCAUCCACACCUGCCAAGUUGAUGAUGGUCGAGAACAAUAAACACAUCUUAACUUAAUAUAUUUAGGAAAUCAUCCUUCGAUAAAUGAGAAAAUUUAUCGGCGUGUUUGGUUGAGAGAGCUGAGAUCUGAAAUGGAAAUAGGAAUGAGUGAUCCUCACUCCAACCAUUUAGUUGGAAGGAGUUUCAUUCCAAUUCACAUUCCAAGGAGGAC
rnacentral:lncRNA from 1 species